rnacentral:rRNA from 1 species
GACGAACGCUGGCGGCGUGCUUAACACAUGCAAGUCGAACGGAAAGGCCCUGCUUUUGUGGGGUGCUCGAGUGGCGAACGGGUGAGUAACACGUGAGUAACCUGCCCUUGACUUUGGGAUAACUUCAGGAAACUGGGGCUAAUACCGGAUAGGAGCUCCUGCUGCAUGGUGGGGGUUGGAAAGUUUCGGCGGUAGGGGAUGGACGCGCGGCUUAUCAGCGUGUUGGUGGGGUAGUGGCUUACCAAGGCUUUGACGGGUAGACGGCCUGAGAGGGUGACCGGCCACAAUGGGACUGAGGUACGGCCCAGACUCCUACGGGAGGCAGCAGUGGGGAAUAUUGCACAAUGGGCGGAAGCCUGAUGCAGCAACGCCGCGUGCGGGAUGACGGCCUUCGGGUUGUAAACCGCUUUCGCCUGUGACGAAGCGUGAGUGACGGUAAUGGGUAAAGAAGCACCGGCUAACUACGUG